GCUGGGCACAGUGGCUCAUGCCUGUAAUCCCAGCACUUUGGGAGGUUGAGGCAGGUGGAUCAUUUGAGGCCAGGAGUUUGAGGCUGCAGUGAGCCAUGAUGGUGCCACUGCACUCUAGCCUGGGUUACAGAGCGAGACCCUGUCUCUA
ensembl:misc_RNA Metazoa_SRP Metazoan signal recognition particle RNA